GUGGGACUACCCGCUGAACUUAAGCAUAUCAAUAAGCGGAGGAAA
rnacentral:rRNA from 1 species